GACGAACGCUGGCGGCGUGCCUAAUACAUGCAAGUCGAACGCUUCUUUCCUCCCGAGUGCUUGCACUCAAUUGGAAAGAGGAGUGGCGGACGGGUGAGUAACACGUGGGUAACCUACCCAUCAGAGGGGGAUGACACUUGGAAACAGGUGCUAAUACCGCAUAACAGUUUAUGCCGCAUGGCAUAAGAGUGAAAGGCGCUUUCGGGUGUCGCUGAUGGAUGGACCCGCGGUGCAUUAGCUAGUUGGUGAGGUAACGGCUCACCAAGGCCACGAUGCAUAGCCGACCUGAGAGGGUGAUCGGCCACACUGGGACUGAGACACGGCCCAGACUCCUACGGGAGGCAGCAGUAGGGAAUCUUCGGCAAUGGACGAAGGUCUGACCGAGCAACGCCGCGUGAGUGAAGAAGGUUUUCGGAUCGUAAAACUCUGUUGUUAGAGAAGAACAAGGACGUUAGUAACUGAACGUCCCCUGACGGUAUCUAACCAGAAAGCCACGGCUAACUACGUG
rnacentral:rRNA from 1 species